GCACGGUUGCCGGAAUUUGGUUACGGAUCUGUCUGCAAAACGGAUAUAUGUCGGUUCAAGUCCGACACCGUGCU
rnacentral:tRNA from 1 species